CUAGCUACAGGCUUAACACAUGCAAGUCGAGGGGAAACGGCAUUGAGUGCUUGCACUCUUUGGACGUCGACCGGCGCACGGGUGAGUAACGCGUAUCCAACCUUCCCAUUACUGUGGGAUAACCUGCCGAAAGGCAGACUAAUACCGCAUAGUCUUCGAUGACGGCAUCAGAUUUGAAGUAAAGAUUUAUCGGUAAUGGAUGGGGAUGCGUCUGAUUAGCUUGUUGGCGGGGUAACGGCCCACCAAGGCUACGAUCAGUAGGGGUUCUGAGAGGAAGGUCCCCCACAUUGGAACUGAGACACGGUCCAAACUCCUACGGGAGGCAGCAGUGAGGAAUAUUGGUCAAUGGACGGAAGUCUGAACCAGCCAAGUAGCGUGCAGGAUGACGGCCCUAUGGGUUGUAAACUGCUUUUGUAUGGGGAUAAAGUUAGGGACGUGUCCCUAUUUGCAGGUACCAUACGAAUAAGGACCGGCUAAUUCCGUGCCAGCAGCCGCGGU
rnacentral:rRNA from 1 species